UACGAGGGGUGCAAGCGUUGCUCGGAAUUAUUGGGCGUAAAGGGCAGGUAGGUGGUCUUAUUUGUCUUGUGUGAAAUCCUUGGGCUUAACCCAAGAAGUGCGCAAGAAACGGUAAGACUAGAGUCCCAGAGAGGCUUGUGGAAUUCCCGGUGUAGCGGUGAAAUGCGUAGAGAGUCGGGAGGACACCAGAGGCGAAGGCAGCCUCCUGGGCCAACACUGACGCUCAUGCACGAAAGCCGUGGGGGAGCAAACAGG
rnacentral:rRNA from 1 species